UACGAAGGGGGCUAGCGUUGCUCGGAAUCACUGGGCGUAAAGGGUGCGUAGGCGGGUCUUUAAGUCAGGGGUGAAAUCCUGGAGCUCAACUCCAGAACCGCCUUUGAUACUGGCGAUCUCGAGUCCGGGAGAGGUGAGUGGAACUGCGAGUGUAGAGGUGAAAUUCGUAGAUAUUCGCAAGAACACCAGUGGCGAAGGCGGCUCACUGGCCCGGUACUGACGCUGAGGUGCGAAAGCGUGGGGAGCAAACAGG
rnacentral:rRNA from 1 species